GGCGGCGUGCUUAACACAUGCAAGUCGAACGAUGAAGCCCUUCGGGGUGGAUUAGUGGCGAACGGGUGAGUAACACGUGGGCAAUCUGCCCUGCACUCUGGGACAAGCCCUGGAAACGGGGUCUAAUACCGGAUACGACCCUGCCUCCGCAUGGUGUCGGGUGGAAAGCUCCGGCGGUGCAGGAUGAGCCCGCGGCCUAUCAGCUUGUUGGUGAGGUAAUGGCUCACCAAGGCGACGACGGGUAGCCGGCCUGAGAGGGCGACCGGCCACACUGGGACUGAGACACGGCCCAGACUCCUACGGGAGGCAGCAGUGGGGAAUAUUGCACAAUGGGCGCAAGCCUGAUGCAGCGACGCCGCGUGAGGGAUGACGGCCUUCGGGUUGUAAACCUCUUUCAGCAGGGAAGAAGCGUGAGUGACGGUACCUGCAGAAGAAGCGCCGGCUAACUACGUGCCAGCAGCCGCGGUAAUACGUAGGGCGCAAGCGUUGUCCGGAAUUAUUGGGCGUAAAGAGCUCGUAGGCGGCUUGUCACGUCGAUUGUGAAAGCCCGAGGCUUAACCUCGGGUCUGCAGUCGAUACGGGCUAGCUAGAGUGUGGUAGGGGAGAUCGGAAUUCCUGGUGUAGCGGUSAAAUGCGCAGAUUAUCAGGAGGAACACCGGUGGCGAAGGCGGAUCUCUGGGCCAUUACUGACGCUGAGGAGCGAAAGCGUGGGGAGCGAACAGGAUUAGAUACCCUGGUAGUCCACGCCGUAAACGGUGGGAACUAGGUGUUGGCGACAUUCCACGUCGUCGGUGCCGCAGCUAACGCAUUAAGUUCCCCGCCUGGGGAGUACGGCCGC
rnacentral:rRNA from 1 species